GUGCCGAGGGCCAUCCGUCAUCCUAGGUGUGGAGCUGUGGGACCUCCCUCGUGCCUGUGGUUGUGGGAUCCCAUGGCCGUGUUUUCCUGGUGGCCCGGCCGUGCCUGAGGUUU
rnacentral:pre_miRNA from 10 species